GGAGAUGAGGGCCAUCUGGCCAUGACACCUAUCACCCCACUGAUCGCCAGCGUUGAUGUGGCUGAUCUGGCUGGUGUCCUCUUCCUCCCUCACGGCUCCAGGUGUGUCCCUCCCAAAGAUGCUACACCUUAUUGUGGGUGAGGGAUUUUGAGAG
rnacentral:snRNA from 1 species